AGGAGCGAAAGCAUGGGGAGCGAACAGGAUUAGAUACCCUGGUAGNCNAUGCNGUAAACGUUGGGCACUAGGUGUGGGGACCAUUCCACGGUUUCCGCGCCGCAGCUAACGCAUNNAGUGCCCCGCCUGGGGAGUACGGCCGCAAGGCUAAAACUCAAAGGAAUUGACGGGGGCCCGCACAAGCGGCGGAGCAUGCGGAUUAAUUCGAUGCAACGCGAAGAACCUUACCAAGGCUUGACAUGUUCCCGAUCGCCGUAGAGAUACGAUUUCCCCUUUGGGGCGGGUUCACAGGUGGUGCAUGGUUGUCGUCAGCUCGUGUCGUGAGAUGUUGGGUUAAGUCCCGCAACGAGCGCAACCCUCGUUCCAUGUUGCCAGCACGUAAUGGUGGGGACUCAUGGGAGACUGCCGGGGUCAACUCGGAGGAAGGUGAGGACGACGUCAAAUCAUCAUGCCCCUUAUGUCUUGGGCUUCACGCAUGCUACAAUGGCUGGUACAAUGGGUUGCGAUACUGUGAGGUGGAGCUAAUCCCAAAAAGCCGGUCUCAGUUCGGAUUGGGGUCUGCAACUCGACCCCAUGAAGUCGGAGUCGCUAGUAAUCGCAGAUCAGCAACGCUGCGGUGAAUACGUU
rnacentral:rRNA from 1 species